rnacentral:rRNA from 1 species
UACGUAGGCAGCAAGCGUUGUUCGGAAUUACUGGGCGUAAAGAGUGUGUAGGCGGUGCUCCAAGUCUGGUGUGAAAUCUCCCGGCUUAACUGGGAGGGUGCAUUAGAAACUGGAAUGCUAGAGGAUGGGAGAGGUAAGCGGAAUUCCUGGUGUAGCGGUGAAAUGCGUAGAUAUCAGGAGGAACACCUGCGGUGUAGACAGCUUACUGGACCACUUCUGACGCUGAGACACGAAAGCGUGGGGAGCGAACAGG